rnacentral:rRNA from 1 species
GUGGGGAAUUUUGGACAAUGGGCGCAAGCCUGAUCCAGCAAUGCCGCGUGCAGGAAGAAGGCCUUCGGGUUGUAAACUGCUUUUGUACGGAACGAAAAGGCUCUGGUUAAUACCUGGGGCUCAUGACGGUACCGUAAGAAUAAGCACCGGCUAACUACGUGCCAGCAGCCGCGGUAAUACGUAGGGUGCAAGCGUUAAUCGGAAUUACUGGGCGUAACGCGUGCGCAGGCGGUUUUGUAAGACAGAGGUGAAAUCCCCGGGCUCAACCUGGGAAUUGCCUUUGUGACUGCAAGGCUGGAGUGCGGCAGAGGGGGAUGGAAUUCCGCGUGUAGCAGUGAAAUGCGUAGAUAUGCGGAGGAACACCGAUGGCGAAGACAAUCCCCUGGGCCUGCACUGACGCUCAUGCACGAAAGCGUGGGGAGCAAACAGGAUUAGAAACCCCUGUAGUCC